GAGUGUGUUUCAUCACGUCGCGAUGUGGAGUACAGAAUCCCACUGGGAGUCCUUCAACUGGGAGCAGUACUCAGUUUUACUCAGUUUCAUAAUGGAAAAGAGCUGUUCACAAAUGACCGUGUUGCACUGCAGAUCAAUUACCUCCAUCUGGAGCGCUUCCUGGACGCUCUCGAUCUUCAUGGAGAAAGGGGAGCUGAACAGGAGAAGUUUGAAAUAAAAGAGACGGGAGUGAGCACAGAAGACGUAUGAUUUAACUGCUGUGAGUCCCAGAAGACACCGGUGAUAGCCACAGACCCUCACAGAACUUACUUGUUUUCAAUGUAAAGAAAUGGGCCACGAUGCAGCAAGCGCCAUCGAAUUGUUAUAUGAGAAAAAAAUGCCUGGAACUCGAGCCACAGAAUUAGAGGGCUUUAAAAGAAGCAGGGAAACAAAAUGCACAUAAAGAGCGGCAUGCUUUGCUCUUUCUGGUGGUGAGUGUCCACUGAGCGCACGUGGCACAGCAGGGGCUAGGACCAUCUUCUCUCCCCCAGGAUACUCACCAUUGCUGAGUUCAAGGCCGGGAAGUGGUCUGAAGAGAGAGAGACAUUGGGAUCGAAUGCGGGGCCUCGCCAGUGAGAGCACUGAGUCCCAACCACUGGACUGCCAGGGAAUUUCCACAAUAAUAAUUUUUUAAAAAGGAAAUGAGUGCUAAGAUGACCAGUAUCGAUUUACCAAGAGGACAAGGGCUCUCAGAAGUGGAAAACUACUCCACCUUUUGAAUCUGGGCCUGGCCAUGUGACUUGCUUUGGCCAGUGGGAUGCAGGGAGAGGCUUGAAAAGUGCUCGUGCAUCAGCGUCUGCUGUUUUUGGAGCAGAGUUGCCACGUGAAUGAGCCUGGAGGAUGUGAGACCAAGAGGAGAGAGGUAGGCCCAACUCUGGCAGCUGAGGCCUCGGCCCCAGGAGUGAGGCCAGCCCAGACCAGAAGGACGGCCUGGCCAACACACAGAAUUAUCAUGUAUCUCAGAAGCACGGGAACGGUCACACAGCCCAGACCACUCCUGAAUCCCACAACGCCUGGCCUGUGGUUGGUGCUCAGAGACCAGGAAGUCACUCCAGCAUCCUCACACUCCUGUGCACAUGGACAAGAGCCCGUGGUUCAAUUCCUUGCCCACUUGAAGGUAUGUGGCCGCAUGCCUUGCCUUGGCCAAGGAUGUCAGGGAAAUGACGUCACUUCCACGCAGAGGUUCCUGCCACACUCCUUGCUCUGCAAUGGAUCUGCCACGUUCCAUAUGGUUGGGUUCUAGAUUGAGGAAACUGUGGAUCAGACCCACAGCCAAUCACAAGAGACCUCUAGGGCAAGCAAGGAAUAAAUCCUUGCUCCUUGAACGCACCAAAAUCUGGUGGUGUUUUUAACCAUCGCCUACCCUAGCCAAUCUGGAUGGAUAUAGCAGGCUGAAAAGGAAUUCUAAAAAUAUAACUACUCAUCUAUCUAGAUCUUCUGAAGACACCUGAGGAUCCUUGAGGAUCUCUUAAGUUAGAGCCGAGGUCUUCCUGAGAAAGAAAGAACGUAGACUAGCAUGUACAGAGCCAUUAGGAUGCAAAUUGUUUGACUUAAAAUUUUUUUAUAACUUUCCCUAUUAUGAAAUAGAACAUGAGAGUGUGACAUCAUACCAGGAACAUAAAUUAACAGGCAAGACCUGGGCAUGAACAGGUGAGGAAAUAUACUUCAGUUUGAGGACUUUAUUUUAUUUAUUUAUUUUUAAAAAUAUUUAUUUACUUAGGCACGCUGCGAGGCUUGCAGGAUCUUAGUUCCCCGACCAGGGAUCGAACCCCUGCCCUCUGCAGUGGAAGUGCGGAGUCCUAACCACUGGACUGCCAGGGCAGUCCCAAUUUGAAGCUUUUAAAUAAUUAUCUUAAUAUCAAGACUUUGACACUCUUUGACGCUUGUUAUCACACCCAUAUUUGAGAACAGAUAGAAGUCUGUGAAUGUUGUUUGUCAUAACAAGGACUCUAUUCCCACAGAGCUGGAGUCAGAAAAAGCAGCAAAAGCAGCACCACCAAGGACACACGUUAAGUCUUAGAAACUCUUUCCUCUAGCAUCUCGAUUCCAUGAUCAUCACUUAGUACAGCAGGCCGAAGCAAUGGGUAUCACAAAGCAUGAAACAGCAAAGGCACGCUAUUUUUGCCACUUACCAGACUAUGCACUUAGAUUAUGCCCUAUCCUGAUUCUUUGGGAGCUCAGAAUAUUUUCAUUCAUAAUUCUUAUUUUCCCUUUAUUAUCCCAGACAGAGAAAAAGGAGCAGAUGUAUUCUCACGUUACAAACAUGUUGAUUUGUCCAUGAAAAGCUAGACGCUGGGCAACUUCCUGCCUACUGCUGUUUGCACUUCUCACCUUCUAUGGCUGUAGAUCUGUUACGUCAAUCACAUUCAGUGUGUGUUAAGAAAUGGGAGGGACACCAUACCAACAGCCCGUGGGGAUGCCACAGGCGAGGAGAGGUCCUAUUCAUUACCAGAACUUUUCAAGAGCAUCUUAGUACUUUUUGAUGGUAAGAACGCUGGAGGGGACUGAGUCCCGUCAGGCUUGAUGGGGAAGGAUGCAUUUCAUUUGGGGCUUUCUGGCUGUAUCUGGAUUACAACAGAAAUUCACUGAACUGUUCUUUGCCUGUCCCAAGAGGUCAUUUCCCUGAAUAGUCCUUUUUUUUAAAAAAAAAAUUUAUUUAUUUAUUUGGCUGUGCCAGGUCUUAGUUGCGGCACACGGGAUCUUCGUUGCCACGUGCAGGAU